rnacentral:rRNA from 1 species
CCCUUAGAUGUCCUGGGCUGCACGCGCGCUGCACUGGAAGUUACGGAUUGAGAUACUACCUUGUCCGAAAUGGUCCGGGUAAUCACCUAAAAGCUUGUCAUAAUUGGAAUGGAUUAUUGUAACUAGUAAUCCUGAACGAGGAAUUCCUAGUAAGUCCCAGUCAACAGCUGGUACUGAUUACGUCCCUGCCCUUUGUACACACCGCCCGUCGCUACUACUGAUUGGACGUUUAAGCAAGAUUUUUAAACACUGACAGUGUGUAGUUCACGCUAUACUACAGUGAGAAGAAGAAGAUCGAGCUUACUUGUCUAGAGGAAGUAAAAGUCGUAACA